UGGGGAAUUUUGGACAAUGGGCGAAAGCCUGAUCCAGCAAUGCCGCGUGUGUGAAGAAGGCCUUCGGGUUGUAAAGCACUUUUGUCCGGAAAGAAAUCCUUGGCUCUAAUACAGUCGGGGGAUGACGGUACCGGAAGAAUAAGCACCGGCUAACUACGUGCCAGCAGCCGCGGUAAUACGUAGGGUGCAAGCGUUAAUCGGAAUUACUGGGCGUAAAGCGUGCGCAGGCGGUUUGCUAAGACCGAUGUGAAAUCCCCGGGCUCAACCUGGGAACUGCAUUGGUGACUGGCAGGCUAGAGUAUGGCAGAGGGGGGUAGAAUUCCACGUGUAGCAGUGAAAUGCGUAGAGAUGUGGAGGAAUACCGAUGGCGAAGGCAGCCCCCUGGGCCAAUACUGACGCUCAUGCACGAAAGCGUGGGGAGCAAACAGGAUUAGAUACCCUGGUAGUCCACGCCCUAAACGAUGUCAACUAGUUGUUGGGGAUUCAUUUCCUUAGUAACGUAGCUAACGCGUGAAGUUGACCGCUGGGGAGUACGGUCGCAAGAUUAAAACUCAAAGGAAUUGACGGGGUCAUAGCUGUUUCCU
rnacentral:rRNA from 1 species